rnacentral:tRNA from 1 species
GGCCCCAUCGUCUAACGGCUAGGAUACCACUCUUUCAAGGUGGGGGUGGGGGUUCGAUUCCCCCUGGGGCCA